rnacentral:misc_RNA from 1 species
GAAAUGCGAUACGUAGUGUGAAUUGCAGAAUUCAGUGAACCAUCGAAUCUUUGAACGCACCUUGCAGCCACCGGCAAUCCGGUGGCUAUGCCCGUCCGAGCGUCGUUUCGACACUCGGGAAACUCCCAUCUCUGUUAGGAGGGGGGGCUUCCCGGCGUUGGGCCAGCGCGCAGCCAGCGUGCCCCUCGCUACGAGGGGUCGCGCAGGCCGCGCGGCCUGUAGAACAACGGCGGCAGCGCCUGCGACGUCCCCUGCGUAGUAGCUCUACUCGCAUCGGGCUCCUCGCGCCGCCCGCCCUGCCGAGGCCGCUAGCCGGCCCCUGGCAACACCAUCUUAAACAACGUCGACCUCGGAUCGGGUAGGGAUACCCGCUAAACUUAA